AUUGAACGCUGGCGGCAGGCCUAACACAUGCAAGUCGAGCGGAUGAAGGGAGCUUGCUCCUGGAUUCAGCGGCGGACGGGUGAGUAAUGCCUAGGAAUCUGCCUGGUAGUGGGGGAUAACGUCCGGAAACGGGCGCUAAUACCGCAUACGUCCCGAGGGAGAAAGUGGGGGAUCUUCGGACCUCACGCUAUCAGAUGAGCCUAGGUCGGAUUAGCUAGUUGGUGGGGUAAAGGCCUACCAAGGCGACGAUCCGUAACUGGUCUGAGAGGAUGAUCAGUCACACUGGAACUGAGACACGGUCCAGACUCCUACGGGAGGCAGCAGUGGGGAAUAUUGGACAAUGGGCGAAAGCCUGAUCCAGCCACGCCGCGUGUGUGAAGAAGGUCUUCGGAUUGUAAAGCACUUUAAGUUGGGAGGAAGGGCAGUAAGUUAAUACCUUGCUGUUUUGACGUUACCAACAGAAUAAGCACCGGCUAACUUCGUG
rnacentral:rRNA from 1 species